rnacentral:rRNA from 1 species
UACGUAGGGGGCAAGCGUUGUCCGGAUUUAUUGGGCGUAAAGAGCGUGUAGGCGGCCAGGUAGGUCUGCUGUGAAAACUCGAGGCUCAACCUCGAGACGUCGGCGGAAACCAUCUGGCUAGAGUCCGGAAGAGGAGAGUGGAAUUCCUGGUGUAGCGGUGAAAUGCGCAGAUAUCAGGAAGAACACCCGUGGUGAAGGCGGCUCUCUGGGACGGUACUGACGCUGAGACGCGAAAGCGUGGGGAGCGAACAGG